AGGGUUUGAUCCUGGCUCAGGACGAACGCUGGCGGCGCGCCUAACACAUGCAAGUCGAACGAGCGAGAGAGCUUGCUUUCUCAAGCGAGUGGCGAACGGGUGAGUAACGCGUGAGGAACCUGCCUCAAAGAGGGGGACAACAGUUGGAAACGACUGCUAAUACCGCAUAAGCCCACGGGUCGGCAUCGACCAGAGGGAAAAGGAGCAAUCCGCUUUGAGAUGGCCUCGCGUCCGAUUAGCUAGUUGGUGAGGUAACGGCCCACCAAGGCGACGAUCGGUAGCCGGACUGAGAGGUUGAACGGCCACAUUGGGACUGAGACACGGCCCAG
rnacentral:rRNA from 1 species